GUCCCAAUUCUUCCAUACUGAGAUUGAUAGAGCUUUCAUUUUUGCCUUCUGUUAUUCAAAACUUGUCACCCUGAAUUUUUGAGCCUAAGACCUUUCUCCACUACCCUUAUUUCACUAAUUAAUUUUUAAAUUAUGUCUACAUGCUAUGGGAAUGGGUGUAGGUGCUUGUGGGGGCCAGAAGAGAGCAAGAGGACAUUGGAUAAUUGAAGCUCUAGCUAGAGACAGUUUGGAGUCUUUGAAUCUCAGUUUUGGGAACCAAACUUGGGUUCUGUGGAAGGGUAUUGUCUUAACUUCUGAGCUAGCUCUCCAGCCCCAUUAUACAUAUUUUUAAAGGAAAACCUUUGUUCCUUUCCCAGUGCUGAUAGCACAUCAGCUGCUAUUUCCAUUACAUCUAUUUAUGUGGACUCUAUUCCUUUGCCUAGUUAAUAUUUGGUGUAAGUGUGUGUGUGUGUAUGUGUGUGUGCACGUGCACAUGCACAUACAUGUGUUUCAGUAAAAAUCAGUGGGAUGUCAUAUAUCACUACUAUGUUGUCUUAGUUAGGGUUUUACUGCUGUGAUCAGACACCAUGACCAACACAAGUCUUAUAAAGGACAACAUUUAAUUGAGGCUGGCUUACAGGUUCAGAGGUUCAGUCCAUUAUCAUCAAGGUGGGAGCAUGGAAGUAUCUAGGCAGGCAUGGCCCAGGCAGGGCUGAGAGUUCUAUGUCUUCAUCUGAAGGCUGAUAGCAGAAAACUCACUUCUGGGCAGCUAUGAUGAGUGUCUUAAAGCCCACACCCACAAUGCCACAACUAAUCCAACAAGGCCAUACCUACUUCAACAGGGUCACACCUAAUAAUAGUGUCACUUCCUGGACCAAACAUAGAUAAACUUGGAGGAAUGACAUAGGUCAUUCCUUUAAGUGUCCCAAAUGCCCAUGUAGUUGAUAAUGGGUGCUAGGGAUCAUUGAUGACCAUAGCAGGCAGGUUGAUACGUGGAUGAAGUUCUAGUGUUGCUAUUCAUAAACACAGCUUUUGUGAGAUCCUGUUGUUGAUUGCCAUACUCCUUGGCUUUACCACUUAGAUUUCAUGUCAGCAUUGGUUUGCUCCACAUAUUUUUACUGUUUUAAAGGAAGUCUAACCUCAUGCUGUUUCAUUCCUUCUUUCAUUUUCUUCUGUUAUUACUCCAACUCUACUACUAUGGACUUAUUCCUACUAAUUUUUCAUGUCUAGUUGAGCUUUAGAUGUUCAUAUCAUUGACUGAUUUGAUAACUCUGAAUCUACUACUUGACAAAUUGUCAAAUUUUCAUAUCCAGUCAUAACUUGUUACAUUCUUUCAAACUGUAGCCUUUUACAUGUUCUGUAUUGUAUUUGGCACUAGUUAGUCUAAGGUAAGGUAAAUAAAAGCAAGAAAAACAAAACCUUGGUACCAGUCUCAAUUUCUUCUCUUGCUUGUUCCAAUUCUCAAUGCACAUGUAAAUUCAAUAAAACUUUGUGUCUAUGUCUUUCAUGUACUUUGAUAUUUCCCUUUGUUAACUAUUGCAGAGCUUAAGUAAACACUGGGCAUUCUGAAACUUGACAACAGAGUCACUUUCCUAAUGAUAUCACUGCUAUAUAUUCAGGCUCUGGAAAUUUCUGUUUAACACCUUUAGGUAUAAUUCACAUGCAAAAAAUUAGGUAAAUAGUUCUUAUAUACAAUAAAUAUGUGGAAAAUCUCCUUAAUGUUAAACUGUUCUAUAUAAUGAUGGAUAAUUUGUUUCUAUAGUCUAGUUAUUUCAGCACAGUAUUUAAAAACAGAGAAGUAAACACUAAUAAGAUGUACAGUGAUACAUGAUACAAAGUGUCUUAAACAUCUGCCAACAAAACAUGAAGAUGGAGUUCUGGGCAGAAUAAAGAUAAAUUAUAAUAUCAAUUUGUCCAGUGUAAAAAGUUUGAAACUUUACCUCAGGAUCUUGUAUUUUCACUAGAAGUUGAAUCCUAAUAAAUAAUAUACUACAAUCAGUCCAAAAGCAGGUAUUACUUUCCAAAAAGAAGAUACUGAUAUUUUCAGAAAUUUUUCCAAAGAAGCACACAUGUCCACAAUGCUAAUAUUUCAAUAGCAAAACUUAGAAAUCCAUCUAUUCGUGAAAUGUUUUCAAAUGAGAGCACUCAGUAACUAGAACAUAAAUAGUGAUUUUAAAUUAUAUUUAAGCUGACAAGCUAGUUAAUAACAAAAGUGUGUUCUCUCAAUAAAUAUUAGCAGUAGCAAUAACAGUGAACUCAUAUGCUAUGAGUUCUGACACAUAUCAUUGUAUAUAAGAUCACUUGUGUUUGUACUUUUUAAAGAUAUCCAGGAUUUACCUCCACUAUUUUAUAUUAAAAUGAAUUAAAUGUUACACGCAUACCCUUCAUUUGUCCCUUGGUUUGUGUGACUGUUGUUCUUCAGAGCAAAGAAAAGCCUAUUUCACCUUGCAGCAAUUUGUUGAUAAACAGGUUGUAUAUCUUUUUAUGUGGCACUUAUGUAAUGAGAUUGUAUUGACAUUUUUGUCAUUAUAAUAAUUCUGUCAAUAAUUGAUGUACACAUUUUGAAAGUACAAACAAUGUGUCAUUAGAAAAGUCAAUAAUGCUAUGCAUGACAUUAUUCAGCAAAUUUGUUGGUAAUUGGCAUUGCUUUAUUGAGUUCUAGAGGUCAUUCAAUAAACCACCCACUUUGAAUUCAGCAAGCUACUCCCUUCAGGAGUAGUAGUAUGGCUUGUUCCUUCCAACCAGACCUUAAGAUCAUCUAGACUUGCACUUUUAAUGCUGUCUUGGAUAAACUCUUCAUGGAAUGUGUGUGACAUAAAAAUUUCUCAAAUUGUAAUAAGGUCAGAUCUUUUAUUAUAUGCUAAAAUUAUAAUGAAAAUACUUUCAGAGGGAAUUUGUGAAUUGUAUUUUAUGUACAUGCACAUGGGCAUAUGAUUUGAGUUAUAUGUGAAAUGUGUGCAUUUUAGUUCUCUCUCUCUCACUCUCCCUCCCUCCCUUCCACUGGAGUUUUUUUUUAAUUGAAAAUAGAUUCAUUUCUCAUGUAAUACAUUCCAAACACAAGUUACACUCCAUUCCUUCUAGCCUUCCCUGCUCCUAGACCCAUUCUCCCUCCAUUUACAUUCAGAAAAAAGCAGGCCUCCAAGAGACAACAACCAAAGGAGACAAAACAAAACAAAACAAAACAAAACAAAACAACAAACACAAUAGGACAAGACAAAAGCUCUCAUAUUGCAGUUGGAUAAUAAAGCAGGAAAAGAGUACCAAUAGUACUAAAAAGUACAAAAAAUAUCAAAGUCGUCAAGGACACACCUGCUUCCACUGUGAGGAGUCCCUCCCAAAACACCAAGCUAACAGACACACAUAUAUACACAGAGGACUUGAUCCUGAACCAUGCUAGCUCUGUGCUUGCCACUUCAGUCUCUGUGACUCCAUAUGUUUCUUCCUGAGUUGAUCCAGUGGGCCAUUUUCUGCUGGUGUCCUCCAACCCCUCUGACUCCCACAUUCUUUCCUUCUUUUCCUCAGAAUUCCCUAAUCUUUGAGGGAGCUACUCAAAGGAGACCUCCAAUUUAGAGACUCUCUCUCUCUCUCUCUCUCUCUCUCUCUCUGCAUAUUAUAUAGUUGGAGGGGAGUGGUCUUCGCACAUGCUCCCAUCUGCUUGUAGGGGAAGCAUCUCUAAUGACACUGGAUAAAGCACUGAUCUAUGGGUAUAGUAGAAUAUCAUCAGAAAUCAUUCAGUUGUUUGUUUAUUUUUGUUUGUUUGGCCAGUCAUCUUGGGUUCUACCCUAGGUCUCUGAGAUAUCAAGAUUCUGGUUCCUGUCUAUCCAGGCAGUGUUGGGUAUCAAGCAUGGACCAUAUUUUGUGGCAUGGACGUCCAGUUAAACCAAAUAUUGAUUGACCAUUCCCACAAGUUCUGGGCACCAUUGCCCCAGCACAUCUUGCAGGAUAGAAAGAUUAUAGAUCAAGGGUUUGGUGGCUGGGUUUGUGUCCUUCUUUCCCUUUCUGUAUAUUGUAUUUCUAUAGAUUACUAUAUUCCAUUGUCACAGAGGAUCACUCCCCAAACAGACUAACAGGGGCUGGCAUCUAAAAACAAUACUUACAGUGUUCCUUGAGUUUUAGUUAGUGCCUGCAUGGAAUCUUAAUGCCUAUAUUCAAUUACAUAAGUUUUAAAGUUUGGAAUUUGCCAACAGUUUAGGCAAUAGUUUAUAACAUCUAUGCUCUUUUUUUAAUUAUUUUUCUUUCUAUUAUUUUCCUGAAAGAAAAUAACAAGUAGGAUCAAUAUUUUUAAAAUAUGUGUUUUAAAUACUUAGCAACAUAAUACUCAAAAAUCCAUAGUUUUUUUCAAAGUUAUAAAACUUUUAAGUUCUUCAGUACUUGUUUAGUUGAAAUAUGAUAUGAGCUGGACUUUCCUCUAUUUGACAUUUUACAUCCCACAGUUUAGGUUAUACAUACGUACCACUAUGGUCUAAAAAUAUUAAAUGGGACAUUCCAGGAAUAAAUACUAUGUAAGUUUCAAAGUAUGCCCAGUUCUAAACAGUAGGUUGAAUCUCACUCUAUUCUGCCUGGCACAAGUAUCCACACUAUAGAUGCUAUUUGCAUUGUAGCUACUAUACUGUCACCUUAAUUAUAAGAUUGCUGUUCUUUUACAAUUCUUGUGUUCUAGUAUCACAUAAUUCACUUAAUUAGGGCCAUAGGCCUAUAAAUAGUGAUGACAACAGUAGUUUAGAUUUUUCAUAUAAAAUCUGCAAGAUGCUUCUUCUAAGUAUGAAAGUUCUUGAUUUGAAGGAAAAAGAAAAUAUACUUUUUAAUGCUUGCUAAGGGCCCUGCAUUCUUAUUAUUAAUCUUCACUGUGAUAAAUUUAUAUAUUAUUUAUUGACACAAAUAUACACAACACAGAGAUAGAUAGAUAGAUAGAUAGAUAGAUAGAUAGAUAGAUAGAUAGAUAGAUAGAGAUAUAUGAUCCAGUCAUACAUUGUAUUCUGAACAUUCACUGAAGAACUUGGGAAAAACUCCCCACAGAUAAAGAGAAUGAUAGUAUAUCUUACUUUAAAUCUAAAACAGGAAUUAAUUGAAUAUUUCUUUGCCAGUUGGUAUAAAUGUUGUUUUAUGACCAACUGUAAGAUUUGAGGUGAUUUUAUUAUAAUUAUUAAUUUUUUAAUGUAGUUAGGAAUCACAUCCUUGGGGAAGGAGAGUUAUCUAUGCUGGAGUGAAAGCAGU
rnacentral:lncRNA from 1 species